rnacentral:rRNA from 1 species
CCUACGGGAGGCAGCAGUGGGGGAUAUUGCACAAUGGGGGGAACCCUGAUGCAGCGACGCCGCGUGGGUGAAGAAGCGCCUCGGCGCGUAAAGCCCUGUCAGCAGGGAAGAAAAUGACGGUACCUGAAGAAGAAGCCCCGGCUAACUACGUGCCAGCAGCCGCGGUAAUACGUAGGGGGCAAGCGUUAUCCGGAUUUACUGGGUGUAACGGGGGCGCAGACGGCGAUGCAAGCCAGGAGUGAAAGCCCGGGGCCCAACGCCGGGACUGCUCUUGGAACUGCGUGGCUGGAGUGCAGGAGGGGCAGGCGGAAUGCCUGGUGUAGCGGUGAAAUGCGUAGAGAUCAGGAGGAACACCGGUUGCGAAGGCGGCCUGCUGGACUGCAACUGACGUUGAGGCCCGAAAGCGUGGGGAGCAAACAGGAUUAGAUACCCCUGUAGUC